rnacentral:snRNA from 1 species
GGAUGUGAGGGCGAUCUGGUUGCGACAUCUGUCACCCCAUUGAUCGCCAGGGUUGAUUCGGCUGAUCUGGCUGGCUAGGCGGGUGUCCCCUUCCUCCCUCACCGCUCCAUGUGCGUCCCUCCCGAAGCUGCGCGCUCGGUCGAAGAGGACGACCAUCCCCGCUAGAGGAGGACCGGUCUUCUGUCAAGGGUAUACGAGUAGCUGCGCUCCCCUGCUAGAACCUCCAAACAAGCUCUCAAGGUCCAUUUGUAGGAGAACGUAGGGUAGUCAAGCUUCCAAGACUCCAGACACAUCCAAAUGAGGUGCUGCACGUGGCAGCUGGCCUUUU